GCAGUCACGAACUCGCCAGCAGCUAGCAGCACUGACUAGUAGGAGGGCCCGCCGGAGGAGAGGAAGCCCCAGAGAGAUUGGUGAGGGUGAUUUCCCAGGAAGACGCAGUGUGCUCUGACUUCUGUGACAGUGAGCAACGGGACCAGUGGAUGUCCAGAUGCUGGCAAUGAGACAUGCUCUGGAGUCAGAAGACAGCGAAAAGAGAAGCAGAAGCCCCGGUGGCAAGAGUCUGAAGCUGGAAAGGAGGAGAACAUGAAACAUUGCUUGAAGACAAUGGCCGAGACAGCAGGUCCCACCCUGCACAGCCACCAGCAUCUCUCCCCUCAGCCCUGUCUCCUCUUCUGCAGUUGGGAUCUGCACAUUUAAGCCUGAAAUUGUCCUGUGAAGUGAAGUAUGAUCGGACAGCCUCUUUUCAGCUUUUAUGACAAUGGAGACAGAGGAAUUGUGGCUCUUGCCAAGGUCACAGGAUUGGAAUACAGAGCCAAGCCACCCCAGGACAUGCAAGAGCCUCAGAAGGGAAAAAAGCCCAGCAGGAAGGGAGAACAAGUAGCCUCUGUCCUGAAGUUGUAACAGCCAGGGGCCAGGAUGGAGGAGGAGGACCCCAUAAUCUGCCCAUCUGGGACUUGGCAGGGGACCUGGGAAAAUGUACCCCAACCCAUCCCUUAAGGGCCUUUGUCUUUGGCCCAUUGGCCUAGCAUCUACUUCUUCACCGUGUCUGUUCUUGUCACACCUAGUCAGGUCUGUUUGGGUCUGAGGUGCAUGGAACAUUCUGGGUAGGCCUCCAGCAAACGGAAGCUCUUCACCGUGUUUCCAGCCUGGGACCAAGGGCAGCAUACUGGCAAAGUUGCCAAAGCAAGGGACUCCAGCCUCUUAGGAGUUAAUGACUCCCUCUCCCCAGCUGUCCUCCCCUUGGUGCUCCUCUUCCUCCCUCCUCCUGCUCACAGCAGGCAGGGCCUAGACCCGGGAGCCAUGCUGCUGUGCUGUUGCCAGGGGAGCACGGAGGCAGAUCUGAGCUAUGCAGGGAAAAGGCCCAGCCUGUCAAAGUGUCUGAGAUGAACCGCCGCCGUCCCUGUGCAGCUGGGCUCAGACGUGUCUCAGCUCUUGUUCUGUGCCUGAGAAUGGCGAAACCCAGUGAGGUUCAAGGGCAAACUCGCUAUUCAUUAGUCAGGGGUUCUUGACGUCCCGUCUCUCCCAGGGAUGAGUUCCCCCCUCCUCUUUCUCCCCCUCCUAUGACACAUUCCUGGGUGCCUUUGGUGAGGACUGCACACCCUCCUCCUGCCUAGCCCCCUCUCCAAAGGCCCCUGAAUAAACUCCCCCCAAGGAGACCAGGCAGGGCAGAGACAAUGGCUGCAGGAAAUCAUUCAGGCGGGACAUGCUGGCCUGCCCUCCACCCAGUCCCCCUGUGGGCCCCACUCCCUUCUGAUUCAGGGCACCCUUGGGCCCCCAGCCUAUACAGGCCUGGACAGGAAGAAACCACUGGGAACCACCCUAAGGACAACAUGCUAGUCCAGUGCCAUUCUUCGCUGGCUCUGUGGGUGCCUUUGUGGCCUGUACCGACUGGCUGGCUAAUUUUGUGGUUUCUGUACCAUCACAUGCCUAUUUUAAGACACUCUCCAGCACUGUCGGUUAGGGAGUGUAAAUUUUGCAAUAUUUUCUGAAAUGUGGCAAUAUCAAAAUGUAAAAGGCACACAUACUUGGUCACAAACAAAUGGCACUAUUUACUCUGUGGGCAUAUUUGUAAAAGUUGCCAAAGAAUUAUAUACAAGGAUGUUCAUCAGAGCAUUUCUUUUGAAGAGUAAAGAAAUGGACAUGAACCUGUGGUCCGUUCAUACGGUGGAAUACCUAUGCAGCUGUAAAAAUCAGUGUGGUAGAUCUCCGUAUAUGAGUUGAUGUGGAAGGUUGGCCAGUUCACAUGAUAAGGUGAAUAGAAUAAGUUACAGAACAGGCUGUAGAGUAUGAUCUUAUUUGUAGAUGUUUAAAACUGAGUCAUAAGUAUGCUUAUAUACAGAUCGUUUCUGGAAGUAUGUACUGGAAGUCUACCUCUGGGGAGUGGGGAUGGGGGAGUGCACUCUUCUAUACUGUUAUAUUUUCUUUUCAUGCUCCUAAGGUACUUUUAUUGGAAGAUGUAAAGCGGUUCAAUGUAAUAGGCUUAACUUCUGUCAACUAAGUUGGCGUGGGUGCUUUAAGAGGGUGGUAGUGAUGUUGCUGGAGAAAGUAUCCCACAGUCACUGGUGGCUUCAGCCACGGGCCAUUUUGGGGCCUAAUAAUCACAUAUCAUCAUGGUUGCUAGUGUUAAUCGAAAACCUACUAAGUGCCAGGCUUACUGUCUCUGGGUCUUGCUUACGUGGAUGUCAUUUUUCCAGUUGCACCAAAUCGAAAGAGGUUAAUUGGUUUGUUGGAGUUCCUUUGUAGGUGAAGGGCAGAGCCAGGAGCUUGGCUAGGGACAGGGGAGGUGAGUGGGGGAUGGUGGAUAGGUCUUGGCUCCCAGUUUCCUUCUGGGCAGACAUUGCCCCUCUGCCCUGAGGACCUGCUUGUUUGGGGGAAGAGGCCUUUAGAGGCACCAGGGUCAUGCCAGGUGUUGGACAUGGUGAACUGGGAAGUGCUCCCAUCUGGCCACAGCGCAGAAGUAUCACCGUGCUGGGGGAUGGGGAACAGGGCUGUGAAUGGGCCUAUUUGCAUAAGCAGCAUGUGUCUGGAGAGAAAGACAUCACAGAGCAGAAGAGUGCGGGUGCCCAGGAGUGCACUUGCCACCCCUACUUCAUCCCUGAAAGAGUAAAUGGCCUGGAAGGUGUCUCUGAGAGGUAAUGCCGCACACCACCCUCCCUGGGGGCAGGGUCAGGCUACACCUGCCUUAGGUCGGGGGCUGCAGCAGCCUGAGAGCUCUCAGUAGGGCCUCAGUAGCCUGGGAGGGAGCAGGGGCAGGGGGCAGGGAAAGAGGCGUAAUGGGGCUGUCCAGAGGGGCCUGGGAAACCUGGUCCCUGAGGCCUGGGCACAGCUACAAUCACUUCAAAUUGGCUGUGGGGCCAGUGGACUGGGAAGGAAAAAAGCAAUAAGAGUGACCAAGUGCAGAAGGCUGUCAGGUCCCAGGUCACAUGCCUUAGUGCAGUGACUCCUCAUCAUUUUAUGGGGUGUGGGUGUCGUUGGUACACCCAUUUUACAGAUGAGGACACCGAGGCCCAGAAAAGUUAAGUUACAUGUCCUAAGUCACACAGCUUGUAAGUGCCAGAACUGAGAUCAAAACCAAGUCUCUUUGACUUUAAAGUCUGUACUCUGACCCCAAAGAGAUCCUGUUUGGCCACUUAUAGGAGGUCCCUAAAGCUGCAGACUCCCCUUGCCGGCACCCACAUAUAGAGACAUUAACCCUUCCCCUGCAGGGUCACCUCAAAUAGUCUUUUAGCUGGGCUUCUCCUGCAAUUCCACCUAAUGCCAUCCCCUGGGUUUUGCCCAAACCUGAACUGGGCAGUGGGGUGAGAGGAGGGGUUUACAGGGUUACAGAGCCUCAUACAGAUAGGAGCCCAUGGCUGCUGGUCAUCUGCAUUCCUGCAGGAUUGGCUGUUCCUUGGGGUCCUUGGCAGGAAAAUGAGGAUUGCUCCGAGGCCUGCUCCAGUACUUCCCAGAGGCUGGCCUGGUGUGGGGCUCUGGGAAGGCUGAGGCUGGAGAAGCGUAAGUAGGAGGGCAGAGAUGGCACUCAGGUAGCUUGAAUCACCAGGACCCUUCCAAGCCCCACAGGUUCUGAGGGAGUACUAGGGCCAGCUCUGGGAGAGGUCUCUUCCUAUGCUGUGAACCCCCUGCCUUUCUUGCAGCCUACAACGAAUAAAUUUUCUUUGCAAAGGCUUCCGUGUCUCUGGUCAGUUUUUCUAGGAGGACAUGAGUGAGGAAAGUAGCACUCCGCCACCAGCAAAAACAACUGCUUGUGUCUUGCGGUGUGGUGGGGACACUGGUAUGGGUGCA
rnacentral:lncRNA from 1 species